rnacentral:lncRNA from 1 species
CAGAAAUGCGAAGGGUCAGUGAAGGAAGGGAAGGCUAAGGAGAAAAGCAGAACGGCUGAAGGAAAGAUGUGUUUCUUGCUUGAAUAACUCCCUAACAAUCUGCUGAAGGAGUGAUUUUGUAUCAGGCUGAAACCCCAAACCAGCAUCAUUUUAAUUUGCCAAGCACCUGUGAAAGAAUGCAGCUGCAAGACCAUGGGAAAACAAUGGGAACUGUGACAGUUCAUUAAUAUAAACCAGCAACGAGAUUUAUUUGGUAAAGUCAUUGAUACAGAAUUACACUGGAGGACACAGUGGCAUUCCUGAAGUAUGCCAGCCAGCAGCUAACCGAGAUUCUAGAUUUGUGUACAUCAUUUGAACUUCAAUGGUUAUUUGUUUGCUUUGGUCGCUGUUUCCGGUGAAGCAAGAGUUUGGAGAGUGCAAGCGGUGUCAGAACCGUGCUGUGCACAGCUGGGAACGAAGGCACCUCUCCAUGCAAAGCCAGCUCUCGGAUCCAAACCGAUGCAAAGGGAAAAGCUCCGUGCAGGGGGAACAUCGGGGCUGUCCUCGGGCAGGCGCAGCAGCAGCAUCAAGCACGGACCCGGACCUCUGGGUGCAGGAGCAGAGCGGUGUUUCAGCAUGGAGAGAUAAACUCAGGUUCUGCCCACAGGCAUCCCAACAAUAUGGCACGAGAGGCAGCAGCCAUCCUUCCAUCCAUCCAUCCAUCCAUCCAUCCAUCCAUCCAUCCAUCCAUCCAUCCAUCCAUCCAUCCACCCACCCACCCGAGGGUGCUCCCACCGAGGGAGGCAGGCAUGAGGAACACCUCACUGCUGGAGAAUUUGGGUGGUGGGGCCACGUGCGCGCUCCCACACUGAGUC